CCGAAGCGCUUAGAAGAGGCCUCCCCGGUGAAGAUAGCAGCCCGGACCACCUCCUCACCGGACCACCUCCUUACCGGACAGCCCUGCAGGACCGGACCAGCGCCGAGCGGAGACGCCGGAGAUGUUCCUGCCAGCAGUGAUGGUAAGGAUAUGCAGUUUAAAAAAAAAAGCAGAUGGGACUAGCAGAGGAUGGCUUCCAACCCAGAGGACUACCUACAGGAUGGCAGGGGACACCUUUCAAACUUACCCUCACCAUGGAUGCCAGUAGGAACAUAUCCCGGCCAUGAGAAAGAAGAUUUGCCCACAUCAGGAGAUAUUUCUGCAUGGUGGGGUAUUUAUGAAAAGUGGGUACUCUACUCUACUUUCACCGGGCGUGACCAAGCGGAGAACCCGCGAAACGGGACUGCCGUUCCACGAGCUCGGCUGAGCUCCUGCUUCCUUCCUUCCCGACUCGAGCUGCAUACUUCCAUGUAGUACUUGGAAUAAACCCACACAUUCUUUA